rnacentral:lncRNA from 1 species
AGAUGAGCCGCGGGAAAGGAGACGAGGGGCGGUGGCCAGGCGGUUGCCCUGACAACGGGGAACCGACCGACUCUUCCCGGUAGGGAGAGGCGAUGGCGGAAUUACUCCUCUAAUGUCAAGGUAUUCUAAUCACAGAAUUACUGGAGCAUCAAGAAGUGCCUGCAUGCUUGGAAGGGCUUCCAGGCAGAUGAACACACCUCAGCACCGGGUGGCAUUUUCCCAGGGUGCAACCCGGACCGGCUCUGGGUCACACUGACAAGCCUCUCCGACUCCCCAGGCUGGGUUGGGUGCUCCUCCCUCUCAUCCCACAGCGCUAUGUCUCAUGUCUUCUGGAAAACUUGCCAAUCCCUAGUGUAAGUGUGACUGGUCUAUUGUGAGCACCUAUUGUUCAGGGACCUCUGUUUACCUGAGGCCAGGACAAGGGCCUGGAAUGUGAGCAGGAGCAAGGGAGUGCUCGGGAAAUGGAAACAAUGAAUGAAUCAAUCAGUCAAUCAGACAACAGGGUUAACAAUUUCCAGAGACAGCCCGUACAUAGAAGGAAUGUUUACUGAAAAAAAUGAAGAGGGGUCAGGGCAAGGCGAGGAGCAAGAAGCACCCCCAAGGAAACAGAGAAGACCAGUACAACUGUACCUCUUUGCCAGCUGCACCAUCCGUACCAGUCUCCUGGGGUGGAAGUGUCCAGCACAGAGACUGCCACACUGCAAGACGAAGGGGCUGGACACACGGAAGAGAGAGGCGGAACCCUGCACCCCCUCAACCUCAGCCCUACUGAGUCUCCAAUGGGGCCACGCUUCUGAGUGCACCUCCCCGUGU